UAAUCAUUUCUCACCCGACUCGGUCUCCCCUUUUCCCCUUCCUCUCUCAUUUGUCUUACCUCACCAGACCCAUCGAUCAAAGAACCUUGUACAAAUUAGUGCAAGGUCGUGAAUCAUGACCAGAAAUCAUCUCCUUUGUCCUCCUUAUCCACGAUUCUCGCUAAAUUUUUUCCCAUUUCAUCUUUGAGAUUCAGAAUCCCUAAAAUCAAAACCCUAGACCUAAUAGUGCAAUUUCAAGUCUUCAGGAAUCCUUUUGUGCUUUGUUAAAUAUGUGAUAUGCAUGGUUGUCUCCCAGUGUUAUCAUGAUUAUUCUUGGUCCAGAGGUCAAGCAAAGUGACCUCUGAACAUUGAGGCUCUUAUCCGAUGGUUCUUGCCUUUUACGGUCAACUUCCCCAUCUCAGGUAAACUCCUUAUUGUUCUUACCUAUGUCUCCUCUGAUUUCACCCGAUUAUGCUAAUAUCACCACCCCUCCCGUUACUCUCCACUACUGGUUUAAUUUUUAUUAAACCCUAAGUCAUUUUAAUGUCACUAUAAAUAGGAGCCUUAAUUCUCUCACCUAACAAUAGAAGACACACAUAAAAUCACUUAACAAACAGAGAAACAUCAAUUUAGUCUUGAGUAGUAAAAUCAGGCUAGGGUUCUAACUAGUUUUGAUUUUCUUUCCGGAAUUUGAGCUUCACAUUAGUUGGAGUUUGAGUUCAUGAUUCUUACCAUCUAAGCAAGACUUUUGUUUGGUUUGUUGCUCAAAAGAAGAGUGAAGCAUUCGAUAAAAGAUCAUAAAGAAGACAUUUCAAAUUGUUUCGAGCAUGACUUGCAAGAGCAAAAGAUGUGCAUGUUAAACCUCGUGUUGGACAUUACUUCCUCUUUUUUUUAUUCACGAUCUUUUUAAUAUUUCUUUUAAAUAUUUUAAACUGUUACUUAUUCUGACUUAUAUAAUUUUUAUGUAGUUUUUAAAUAUGUACUCUUUAUUUAAAAAAAUUAAAAGAUUCUAUAACGACCGACCGGUCGUUUUGAGCUCAAGCGCGUCGCUCGGCGGUUUGAGGCCAUGAACAGCUUCACCUCAGGUAUUAUGACUUGUACGCAUAGUCGGAACUGAAAUUCGGGGAGUUCGGAGUUAAUUUGGAAAGAGAAUUCUCAUUUCGGAA